GAUGAACGCUGGCGGCGUGCCUAAUACAUGCAAGUCGAGCGAAGCGGGGACGGGUAAGUAACACGUGGAUAACCUCCUAUCAGACUAGGAUAACUUCAGGAAACCGAAGCUAAAACCGAAACUUAUCGAUGGAUCCUGGCUGCAUUAGCUAGUUGGGAAGAUAACGGCUUACCAAGUCUACGAUGCAUAGCCGACCUGAGAGGGCGAGCGGCAACACUUGAACAUAGACACGCUCCAGACUCCUACGGGAGGCAGCAGUAGGGAAUCUUCCGCAAUUGGCGAAAGCCUGACUGAUCAACGCCGCGGUAGUGAUGAAGGUCUACGGAUCGUAAAACUCUGUUAUUAGGGAAGCGGUACCUAAUCAGAAAGCCACGGCUAACUACGUGCCAGCAGCCGCGGUAAUAC
rnacentral:rRNA from 1 species